GUGCUUGCUUCGGCAGCACAUAUACUAAAACUGGAAAGAUACAGAGAGGAUUGGCAUGACCCCUGUGCAAGGAUGACAUGCAAGUUCGUGAAGUGUUCCAUAUUGUU
rnacentral:snRNA from 1 species